AGAAACGAUGGUUCUGCUUAACAAGCAGAGAGCUCACCUACCACAAACAGCCAGGUAAGUUCAUUGAACGCAAAGACGCAAUCUACACAAUUCCAGUAAAAAACAUUCUUGCUGUGGAAAAACUGGAAGAGAGCUCUUUCAACAAGAAAAAUAUGUUCCAAGUAAUACAUACGGAGAAACCACUCUAUGUCCAGGCAAAUAACUGUGUAGAAGCUAAUGAAUGGAUAGACGUACUCUGCAGGGUGAGCCGAUGCAAUCAAAACAGGCUCAGUUUUUAUCAUCCCUCUGUGUAUCUAAAUGGAAAUUGGCUCUGCUGUCAGGAGACCGGUGAAAACACUCUCGGCUGCAAGCCAUGUACUGCAGGUGUCCCUGCAGACAUCCAAAUAGAUAUUGAUGAAGACAGAGAAACAGAAAGAAUUUAUUCCCUUUUUACCCUCAGUUUACUUAAGCUGCAGAAGAUGGAAG
rnacentral:sRNA from 1 species